rnacentral:rRNA from 1 species
AAAUUUGGAUUAAUACCUCAUAGUAUUUUCGAAUCGCAUGAUUUGAUUAUUAAAGUUCCAACGGUAAAAGAUGAGUAUGCGUCCCAUUAGCUAGAUGGUAAGGUAACGGCUUACCAUGGCUACGAUGGGUAGGGGUCCUGAGAGGGAGAUCCCCCACACUGGUACUGAGACACGGACCAGACUCCUACGGGAGGCAGCAGUGAGGAAUAUUGGACAAUGGGCGCAAGCCUGAUCCAGCCAUGCCGCGUGCAGGAAGACGGUCCUAUGGAUUGUAAACUGCUUUUAUACAGGAAGAAACACCUCUACGUGUAGAGACUUGACGGUACUGUAUGAAUAAGCAUCGGCUAACUCCGUGCCAGCAGCCGCGGUAAUACGGAGGAUGCAAGCGUUAUCCGGAAUCAUUGGGUUUAAAGGGUCCGUAGGCGGCCAAAUAAGUCAGUGGUGAAAGCCCAUCGCUCAACGAUGGAACGGCCAUUGAUACUGUUUGGCUUGAAUUAUUAGGAAGUAACUAGAAUAUGUAGUGUAGCGGUGAAAUGCUUAGAGAUUACAUGGAAUACCAAUUGCGAAGGCAGGUUACUACUAAUAUAUUGACGCUGAUGGACGAAAGCGUGGGGAGCGAACAGGAUUAGAUACCCUGGUAGUCCACGCCGUAAACGAUGGAUACUAGCUGUUCGGAGCAAUCUGAGUGGCUAAGCGAAAGUGAUAAGUAUCCCACCUGGGGAGUACGUUCGCAAGAAUGAAACUCAAAGGAAUUGAC